rfam:Oxytricha trifallax strain JRB310 Contig451.1 macronuclear, whole genome shotgun sequence.
AAUCUGGUUGAUCCUGCCAGUAGUCAUAUGCUUGUCUCAAAGACUAAGCCAUGCAUGUCUAAGUAUAAAUGUUAUACAGUGAAACUGCGAAUGGCUCAUUAAAACAGUUAUAGUUUAUUUGAUAAUCAAAUUUACAUGGAUAACCGUGGUAAUUCUAGAGCUAAUACAUGCUGUUAAGCCUGACUUUUAGGAAGGGCUGUAUUUAUUAGAUAACAAAUCAAUAUUCCUUGUGUCUAUUGUGACGACUCAUAAUAACUGAUCGAAUCGCAUGGGCUUUGCUCGCGAUACAUCAUUCAAGUUUCUGCCCCAUCAGCUUUCGAUGGUAGUGUAUUGGACUACCAUGGCGUUCACGGGUAACGGAGGAUUAGGGUUCGAUUCCGGAGAGGGAGCCUGAGAAACGGCUACCACAUCUAAGGAAGGCAGCAGGCGCGUAAAUUACCCAAUCCUGACUCAGGGAGGUAGUGACAAGAAAUAACGGACCGAAGCCUAUGUUUCGGGAUUGCAAUGAGUAGAAUUUAAACCCCUUUACGAGGAUCAAUUGGAGGGCAAGUCUGGUGCCAGCAGCCGCGGUAAUUCCAGCUCCAAUAGCGUAUAUUAAAGUUGUUGCAGUUAAAAAGCUCGUAGUUGGAUUUCUGGGAGGGUGCCAAUGUCGUCUUGUUGAUUGUGCAGCGGCGCCCUUCCAUCCUUCUGUUAACGUUUCUGAUAUUUAUUUAUUGGUCUCGGGCUCAGAUAUUUUACCUUGAGAAAAUUAGAGUGUUCCAGGCAGGCUCGCGCCGGAAUACAUUAGCAUGGAAUAAUAGAAUAGGACUUUAGUCUCCUUUGUUGGUUUGAGGGACUGAAGUAAUGAUUAAUAGGGAUAGUUGGGGGCAUUAGUAUUUAAUUGUCAGAGGUGAAAUUCUCGGAUUUGUUAAAGACUAACUUAUGCGAAAGCAUUUGCCAAGGAUGUUUUCAUUAAUCAAGAACGAAAGUUAGGGGAUCAAAGACGAUCAGAUACCGUCCUAGUCUUAACCAUAAACUAUGCCGACUAGGGAUCGGAGGCGCGCCUUAUCCGCCUUCGGCGGGUUUUGGGGAUUUAGGGUUUUUGGGUUCUGGGGGGAGUAUGGUCGCAAGGCUGAAACUUAAAGGAAUUGACGGAAGGGCACCACCAGGAGUGGAGCUUGCGGCUCAAUUUGACUCAACACGGGAAAACUUACCAGGUCCAGACAUAGUGAGGAUUGACAGAUUGAUAGCUCUUUCUUGAUUCUAUGGGUGGUGGUGCAUGGCCGUUCUUAGUUGGUGGAGUGAUUUGUCUGGUUAAUUCCGUUAACGAACGAGACCUUAGCCUACUAACUAGUCGAUCCGUUGCUUAGCGGACACGACUUCUUAGAGGGACUUUGUGACUAAACACAAGGAAGUUUGAGGCAAUAACAGGUCUGUGAUGCCCUUAGAUGUCCUGGGCCGCACGCGUGCUACACUGACGCAUACAGCGAGUACUUCCCAGCUCCGUGAGGCAGCUGGUAAUCAGCAAUAUGCGUCGUGAUGGGGAUAGAUCUUUGGAAUUAUAGAUCUUGAACGAGGAAUUCCUAGUAAGCGCAAGUCAUUAGCUUGCGCUGAUUAAGUCCCUGCCCUUUGUACACACCGCCCGUCGCUCCUACCGAUUUCGAGUGAUCCGGUGAACCAUUUGGACCGCGAUGCCCUUGUGGUGUUGUGGAAAAUCUAGUAAACCAUAUCACUUAGAGGAAGGAGAAGUCGUAACAAGGUUUCCGUAGGUGAACCUGCGGAAGGAUCAUUA